UUUAAAAUAAAAGGGAUUUGGCACCGGUUCUAAACAAAACCGAUGCCAACUGUUUAAAAUAAACCGGGUUAUAGCUUAAUUAUAUCUCUCUCAUCCGCUUCUCUAUUUCAUUCUCUCCCUCUCUGGUUCUGCUCUCCUUCUCUCUCAUCUCUGGUUUUGCCCUGCUCUCGUUCUAUCUCAUCUCUUGUUCUGCUCUCAUCUCUCAUUCUCUCUCAUCUUUCGUUCUGCUCUUAUCUCUCCUUCCUCUUUCGUUCCCAUCUCGAUCUGCUCUCAUCUCUCAUGUGAGGUUUCGAUUUUCGUUCGAAUCUUGUUCGAGUUAAAGCAAGUGGUGAACGAUUAGAGAGACAGUUAGGCCGACGACACCGUCACCUGCAACGCUUCCGACCAAGACACCGUCACCUUUAACGGCUUCCGGUACCGGCGCUUGAAAGGUUUUUUUUUCCUGUUAAAGCUUAUAAAACCCUAAUAUAAAUCUCUCUUUCGCUCAAUUUUUUUUUUCCCAAUUGCAAGUAAGUUUCUUCUCUUUUUCGCUUAAUUCAUCUUUAUAUUCUUUUAUGCUGUAUUUUUUGUUGAUUUUGUUAUAGAUUUAGUUGAAAUUUAUGGUAUUACGUUGUGUUUUUGAUUUAUAUUUUUAAUCUGCGUUUUUUUGCUCAAUUUUUUCCCCAAUUUCAAGUAAUGUUUUUGCUAACCUUGGCUGUGUAGAAUCUGUAGAUUGUGUAUUGUGGGUUCUUUGAUUUUGGAACUUGACUCGUUAUUUUGGGUUCAUUGUUUUUUUUUUUCUUUUUUUUUUAUUCAAUAACUUUGCUAUGAAUCUGAGUUUGUUUUGAUAAAUAAUUAGUUUAAUUCAUUAUAAUUGGCCUAUGAAAAAGUUGAGUUUCACUAUAUUCAUACUGAUUAAAAUUUGUAUGCAUUAGUCAAAAUUUUCAAGCAUUGGAUUUGAGUGUCAAUUUUUGUUAAAUGAAGCUGAUAAAGAGUUGUUGCUUAUAUAACUUUGUCUCUUUCAUAUGAAAUUCUAGAGUGUAUCAUGGUUUGAAAGGAAUAGAAUAUGAGGCUUGUAAAUAUUAUCAGAUCUCAAUAUUAUAAUUACAUGUUUAGAAAUUAUAAUAGAAUAUUGCAUGGGAAUAAGUAGGUGACAUGUGUACUUGCUCUGAAAUGUCAAUUGCAGGCUUUAGGUUUUGCUGAGUGUUCAAAAGGGGUUUGACAAGUCUGUGAAGUUGGGAAACAUUAAGCAAAAAUUUAAUGUUCUGUAUUAUCAUAGUAUUAAUUUAGAGUAUAUAUCUUCUAGAUUAGUUUGAAGCCACAUCUUAUACAAGUUUAGUAGAUAAUUUUUAAGGUUGGAUAUAUAUAUUUUUCAAUAUGCUAUGAGUUUCGUGCCCUUCUGUCUUGUGUUUUUGCAUUUUAAUCUACUUAAUGUUUUUAUUUUUCUAUAGUUGUAUAGAAAGGCGUAGUUGGGUUCUGGAUCAAGUGAUUUAUUGUAUUGUGGUCCUUGAGAAAGACUUCUAGUUGCCUGCAAAUAAUUAGCAAUUGUGACCUUUGUACAUAGUGCUACCUUUAAUGUGAGCCUGAAAGCAAAUUGAUGAUGUACAUGAUAUGGUGUAAAUUGAUGAUUUACAUAUUUAAUCCUUCCCUUAUUGAAGUAUUUGUUGGUGCUUAUAGGCAUCUGGAAACUAGUGUAUGCAGUAAGGUGCAAUGGAAGCUAUUAGCUCACAUGAAGAAUGUUGCGCUGUUUUUGGUUAGAGAAGUUACACAUUUUAAUGGGGAUUUGGUACCUGAAUUAUGUGCUGCUGUAUUCAACGAGUAUACGCAAUUAUUGAAUGCUCAAUGUGUCCAGGGGACAAUAACGGAGGAACAAGAAGAAUUUGUAAAAUUUGUAUCAAAUUGUACAUCCAAACGUCGGUCAGCAUGCAAGAAUGUUUGGGUCUCCGUUGCUAUGCAUUUGUAUAGAUCUGCAGACAAUUUUUCUCAGGGAAGUACAAGGCUUGUAAAUUAUAUUCUCUCUGAUAAGUGUACUUCAUUGUUACGGCCUCAGAUGCUGAAGUACAUCAUAGCCAUGCUUCACAACAAUUUUGUCGAAUUCUACAGACAUACAAUUUAAAGAGGUUUUUAUUUUUUUUUCAAUUUUUUUAAUUAAAAAACCUUUUGAAUUGAUAAUUCUGGUGCUCCAACAGGUUAUUCCCUUUAUUUUAAUUUGGUUCACAAUUUCGUUUUACAAUUGAGGGAGUGUCUUAAGAAUUUAUAUACCUAUUCAAAUCAAUGGGUUAGUUUUAGUGUGGAUUUAGAUUUUGUUGUGGUAACUAUGUUGCAACUAAUAAUAUUUCUGGAAUCUCAUUUAGUAAUUGCCUAUAAAUUUGAAGAUUAUCUUUGUUUUUUUAUGUCCUUGUGCUGUUGUUGAUAUGUUGAUGAGGAUGAUGUUAUAAGCUCUUGUUCAGUACGUGUUUAAUGACCUACCAAGUAUCGCUAUCUUCAAAGUCUGAAAGCAAAGGUUCAUGUGAGACAUCUAAGAGGUCUGAGCUCAUUGAUAAGACAGAUUAUGAUCGCACACUUGGAAAGUAUAGCUCUGAUGAUGAUGAACUGAAUGAUAGUACACGAAAGUCGGAACUUGCAUGGGUUACAAAGGCACUUGAACCUGCACUACAGCUUUGUAGAUGGGCUUUCCCAGGUUUGGUAAUUGCUAAUUUUGUAGUUCAUAUACGAGGCUUUAAAUAAGUAGACUAUUAAAUAGUUCUCUCUCAACUUGUAACUUCUUCCUAUGCGCAACCAAAUGACCACUUAUAAUAUUGUUAUUGAACAAUGUACUGGUGAUUGAACAAUAUAUUCCUAAUAUGAUCCAUUUAUGUGCAGCAAACUAUGUCCUCUAAUCUAAAAUGGAAAAAAUUACUAAUGCUGACUAUUUUAUGGGUUGCUUUUGUGCUCUUUCAAAUCCUCAAGGCAAGCUACUUCUUCAUUGUGCUUAGUGUUUUAGUUGCAAACUUCCUAUACGAUUCAUGGGUACCAUGGCUAAUGAAAUUUGAUAAUUUGUUCAACGGAAUGAUAUUGCAGCCUGUUCCACGUGGUAUUGGGUGCUUACUCAUGUCUAGUUUUCUGUAGCUUUCGGAGUAUUUGGUUAUGAAGCACUUAAAUUAUAUGAAGAAGGGAAGAAAAGGAAGAUAGCUGGUAACACUGAAUCUGUUUGUGAAGCUUCCAUUGAAUUUACACCACCAGCAGCUUCCAUUGGAACAAAUACGCCACCACAGAAAACCAGCAACAUGGCUGCAAAAGGAAAACAGACAGCAGCACAAUAGUAUCAACACAACAAACUUCUAAACAAACCAGAACAAGAUCCAAGUGUACUAGUCAGCAUUCAAGCUGUAGAACAAGAUCCAAGUGUUUUUUUUUUUUUUUUUU